AUACUGCAGUAACUCAGUAAUAGUAUAAUAGUGGGUAAUAAUAGACUGGGUUUUGUGUAUCAAAGACUAUGCCAGAAUGCUGUGAUCCCUGAUUAAUGUCACCUGUUAAAUCCACUUCAAUCAGCGUAGAUGAAGGGGAGGAGACAUGUAGAUGAAGGGGAGGAGACAUGUUGAUGAAGGGGAGGAGACAUGUAGAUGAAGGGGAGGAGACAUGUAGAUGAAGGGGAGGAGACAUGUAGAUGAAGGGGGGGAGACAUGGGGAGGAGACAUGUAGAUGAAGGGGAGGAGACAUGUAGAUGAAGGGGAGGAGACAUGUAGAUGAAGGGGAGGAGACAUGUAGAUGAAGGGGAGGAGACAUGUAGAUGAAGGGGAGGAGACAUGUAGAUGAAGGGGAGGAGACAGGUGGUUAAAGAAGGAUUUUUAAACCUUGAGACAAUUGAGACAUGGAUUGUGUAUGUGUGCCAUUCAGAGGGUGGAUGGGCAAGACAAAAUAUUUAAGUUCCUUUGAACAGGGUCUGGUAGUAGGUUCCUUUGAACGGGGUACGGCAGUAGGUUCCUUUGAACGGGGUACGGCAGUAGGUUCCUUUGAACGGGGUACGGCAGUAGGUUCCUUUGAACGGGGUACGGCAGUAGGUUCCUUUGAACGGGGUACGGCAGUAGGUUCCUUUGAACGGGGUACGGCAGUAGGUUCCUUUGAACGGGGUACGGCAGUAGGUGCCUUUGAACGGGGUACGGCAGUAGGUGCCUUUGAACGGGGUACGGCAGUAGGUGCCUUUGAACGGGGUACGGCAGUAGGUGCCUUUGAACGGGGUACGGCAGUAGGUGCCUUUGAACGGGGUACGGCAGUAGGUUCCUUUGAACGGGGUACGGCAGUAGGUUCCUUUGAACGGGGUACGGCAGUAGGUUCCUUUGAACGGGGUACGGCAGUAGGUUCCUUUGAACGGGGUACGGUAGUAGGUGCCAGGCACACCGGUUUGAGUCAAGAACUUCAACGCUGCUGGGUUUUACACACUCAACUGUUUAAUAUGUGUUUCCAGAAUGGUCCACCACCCAAAGGACAUCCAGCCAACUUGAUACAGCUGUGGGAAGCGUUGGAGUCAACAUGGACCAGCUUCCCUGUGGAACACUUUGGACACAUUGUAGAGUCCCACGCCCUGACGAAUUGAGGCUGUUCUGAGGGCAAAAGGGGGUGUGUCCAUGCGCAUGUUUUGUGUGUGCUGACCCUCUCAUGUGUGUGUGUAUUAUACUAACCCUCUCAUGUGUGUGUGUGUGUUAUACUAACCCUCUCAUGUGUGUGUGUGUGUUAUACUAACCCUCUCAUGUGUGUGUGUAUUAUACUAACCCUCUCGCAUGUGUGCGUGCGUGCCUAUUUGUCUAC